CGUUUAAACACCGGUUCCCGUACGAUCACUGAUAUUAAGCAAUGUCGAGACCGGUCAGUUACUGGAUGGGUGACAGUUUGGGAAUACCAGGUACUGUAAG